rnacentral:RNase_MRP_RNA from 1 species
ACACCACUGGACGAGGCGAUUGGGUCAUAUUUCUGUAAAAAGAAUUAGACCCAGGAAAGUCCCCGGGCCCCUAUCUGCAGAGAUGCAGGCCUGGAAACAGGUACCCUCCGUAGGCUUGGAGUCUUAUCGCCCCGUGCGAUGGGCUGAGACACGUGUGGAGCCUUUUAGGCUUCAAGCCCGGACUAAUCUUGGCCGACUUAACAGUUAUUCGCUUGGUCCAUUGGACUAACUGAACGGGGCUUACGUUUCAGUGGUG